UACGUAGGGUGCAAGCGUUGUCCGGAAUUAUUGGGCGUAAAGAGCUCGUAGGCGGUCUGUUGCGUCGGCUGUGAAAACCCGGGGCUCAACUCCGGGCCUGCAGCCGAUACGGGCCGACUAGAGUUCGGCAGGGGAGACUGGAAUUCCUGGUGUAGCGGUGAAAUGCGCAGAUAUCAGGAGGAACACCGGUGGCGAAGGCGGGUCUCUGGGCCGAUACUGACGCUGAGGAGCGAAAGCGUGGGGAGCGAACAGG
rnacentral:rRNA from 1 species